CUCACAUUUUUCCCAAUAAAUGCGGAUUCUCUAUUGCCGGCAAAAGAAUUCUUGGUAGAAGGUUUUAGAUUCAAAAACAGAGGAAUCCCAUUGUUUUGACCAUUCUUCAAGCAUUGUGAUUGCGGCAUUUAGAUCCAUUGGAAACAAGAACAAUUAAAAAUGCUCUCAACCCAUUCAUUUUCUACCCUACUGGGUAUAACUAAUUGAAGUUUUGGUAACAAAAUCCUUAAAUGAUUCUUAUUUUCUUCCUUAAAAGAUAAGGCUUCAUUAAGAAUCUCAAUCGCUGAUUCUUCCUUGCUAAAAUUUGUCUUCAAAUCUGAAAUCCUUACCUUAAGAUUUUCAGGCGAAAUCUUUGCAUCCCCGACCUGAAGGGACUCAAAUUUCUACUGUAGAAGUUGUGCAGCAAUCACACCCAACUCAAUAUCCAUCCUACGUUCCUCCGUAGUUUUAAAUGUCUUCUUAAUCCCUUGUAUUUAUCCCAAUUCUAUUGGGUCCCUCGUUGAAAACUUAUGUUCUUCAUUGCCCAAUUUUUCAUCCUAGAUGAAAUGGAUACAAUGUUCGUCUGUUGAAUUAAAGACUGACCAGAUUUAAUUCCAUUGCUUCCAAACUUGAGGCAAUAAUGAUUCAAUGCAAAUUAGCUGUAGUACACCUUCAGCAACUUCUAUCUCAACUUCACUCUUCCUUUCUUCAAUAGUCGUCCAAUUCUCCAAAAUUCUCAACUCCCUUCCUGAUUCUCCUUUAGCUCAUAGCCUUUAUCUUCAUUUGGUCCUGCUAAUUUUGCUAAAUGUCUCAAACACCUCUUCCUCAAUAGUUUCUAAAAAUCUCUAGCAAAGUUACUCAGAGAACAAACUCCAACUGCCCUAAGAUGAUUUGCAAUGAAUCCAUAAAACCAUAUAUAAGUUUUCCCUUCCAAGUACUUCUCAGCAACUUCCAAUCCAAGUUCAUCGGGAGUUUGAAAAAGUUGGAAACAUUUUAUAGCUUUCCUUACCCAUUCCCUAGGUCCUUCUCCCCUAAAAAGUGGAAAAACCAUCUUAGGCAGUCUAAUAUUUCCCUUAAGCCCACUUGUUGUAUUAACACUAUUCUCUUUAGCUAUUAAUUCCUGGCAUAUAUAUCUCACUCUCACUAUGCUCAACACCAACAUCUUCACUUUUAGCAGCGGCUGACUUCUAAUUUCACCCCAAACAAGAUCUCCUACAUGGAAUCCAUUCUCCUGACCCACCAAAUUUUUUUCAUUCUUUACUUUUUUAUUAGGAGUAACCAUAAUUUCACUAUCCCCAUUGACAAUACACUUGGUGAUUGUAGCGACUGAAUCAUCAUAGAUGCUCAAAUCAGAUGUACUAACCUGCUUGACUAGGCCCUCUUCUGAUUCAGAACCCGAAUCACCCAUUUGCACAUCCAAAAUCUCGACCAUUUUUGCAGAAGAACUGUAAUGGUUGGACUUAUCUCUGCAGGUUGAUUUAGCUUCAAUAAUUUCAGUCAACAUUGAAAUCAUCUGCUCAGGGAUUCUAUUAAAAUCUUCUCUGAUGAUACCAUUUUGUCACGAAUUAAAUCUCAAUUCGCAACCAUCCACUCGCACAACUCAAACAAUGAAGUAAUCCAACUGAAACCAGCUGAAUUUGGAACCAAAUUAAGAUCAAAGGAGAAUGGGGAGGGAUUAAAUGAUGAAAAAUAAGAACAAGAAAACAGAGAAGAAGAAUACAGCAACAGAGAAGAAGAAGUAGAAGAAGAAGGGGAAAGAAGCCAAGGGAGAAGCAGAG
rnacentral:lncRNA from 1 species